ensembl:lncRNA
UAAACCAGGACUAAAAGAGGACUAAACCAGGUCUAAACCAGGACUAAACCAGGACUAAAAGAGGACUAAACCAGGACUAAACCAGGACUAAAAGAGGACUAAACCAGGACUAAACCAGAACUAAACCAGGACUAAACCAGGACUAAACCAGGACUAAACCAGGACUGAACCAGGACUAAACCAGGACUAAACCAGGACUGAACCAGAACUAAACCAGGACUAAACCAGGACUAAACCAGGACUGAACCAGGACUAAACCAGGACUAAACCAAGACUAAACCGGGACUAAACCGGGACUAAACCAGGACUGAACCAGGACUAAACCAGGACUAAACCAGG